rnacentral:rRNA from 1 species
AUAAUACCGAAUAACGUGGCCCCGGACAUCCGGGGUUGACGAAAGAUUCAUCGAUGCGGGAUGAGCUUGCGUCCGAUUAGCUAGUUGGCGGGGCAACGGCCCACCAAGGCGACGAUCGGUAGCCGGCCUGAGAGGGUGAUCGGCCACAUUGGGACUGAGAUACGGCCCAGACUCCUACGGGAGGCAGCAGUAGGGAAUAUUGCACAAUGGGGGAAACCCUGAUGCAGCAACGCCACGUGUGGGAAGAAGCAUUUCGGUGUGUAAACCACUGUCGUGAGGGAAUAAGGCUAUUUUUCGGAGUAGUUGAAUGUACCUCGAGAGGAAGCACCGGCAAACUUCGCGCCAGCAGCCGCGGUAAUACGAGGGGUGCAAGCGUUGUUCGGAAUCACUGGGCGUAAAGGGAGCGCAGGCGGAAGCUCAAGCGGAUCGUACAAUACCGGGGCCCAACCCCGGGCCUGCAGUCCGAACUGGGUUUCUUGGAUAGUUCAGGGGCAAGCGGAAUUCCUGGUGUAGCGGUGGAAUGCGUAGAGAUCAGGAAGAACACCGAUGGCGAAGGCAGCUUGCUGGGGACUAAUCGACGCUCAUGCUCGAAAGUGCGGGUAGCAAACAGGAUUAGAUACCCUGGUAGUCCGCACCGUAAACGAUGCAUACUGGGUGUCCGGGGUUCGCCCCGGGUACCGCAGCAAACGCGUUAAGUAUGCCGCCUGGGGAGUACGUACGCAAGUAUGAAACUCAAAGGAAUUGACGGGGGCCCGCACAAGCGG